rnacentral:rRNA from 1 species
AAACGACUCUCGGCAACGGAUAUCUCGGCUCUCGCAUCGAUGAAGAACGUAGCGAAAUGCGAUACUUGGUGUGAAUUGCAGAAUCCCGUGAACCAUCGAGUCUUUGAACGCAAGUUGCGCCCCAAGCCAUUAGGCCGAGGGCACGCCUGCCUGGGUGUCACGCAU